CCUACGGGAGGCAGCAGUAGGGAAUUUUCGGCAAUGGGGGGAACCCUGACCGAGCAACGCCGCGUGAACGAAGAAGUUAUUCGUAAUGUAAAGUUCUUUCAACAGGGAAGAAAGAGAAAUUUGACGGUACCUGAAGAAUACGCUCCGGCUAACUACGUGCAAGCACCCUCGGUAAUAUGUAGGGAGCGAGAGUUAUCCGUAAUUAUUGGGGGAAAAGGGUGCGUAGAUGGCAUAGUAAGUCUGUUGUAACAAUGCGGGGCUCACCCCAGUAGGGCAAAAGAUACUGGAAAGCUAGAGUAUGACAGAGGUAAGUGGAACGACAUGUGUAGCGGUAAAAUGCGUAGAUAUAAGUAAGAACACCAGUGGCGAAGGCGGCUUGCUGGGUCGAUACUGACAUUGAGGCACGAAAGCGUGGGGAGCAAACAGGAUUAGAUACCCGGGUAGUC
rnacentral:rRNA from 1 species